rnacentral:SRP_RNA from 1 species
CGCUUUGUCCUGUUCGAUCGUACUCUUGUGAAAUGGGUCAGGCCUUGAUCGGAGCAGCCCUAAGCAGGAAGUAUGGUGCUUACAGGGUUGCAAAGCCGA